rnacentral:rRNA from 1 species
AUUGAACGCUGGCGGCAGGCUUAACACAUGCAAGUCGAGCGGGGUGAUGGUGCUUGCACUAUCACUUAGCGGCGGACGGGUGAGUAAUGCUUAGGAAUCUGCCUAUUAGUGGGGGACAACAUCUCGAAAGGGAUGCUAAUACCGCAUACGUCCUACGGGAGAAAGCAGGGGAUCACUUGUGACCUUGCGCUAAUAGAUGAGCCUAAGUCGGAUUAGCUAGUUGGUGGGGUAAAGGCCUACCAAGGCGACGAUCUGUAGCGGGUCUGAGAGGAGGAUCCGCCAGACUGGGACUGGGACACGGCCCAGACUCCUACGGGAGGCAGCAGUGGGGAAUAUUGGACAAUGGGGGGAACCCUGAUCCAGCCAUGCCGCGUGUGUGAAGAAGGCCUUAUGGUUGUAAAGCACUUUAAGCGAGGAGGAGGCUCUUUUGGUUAAUACCCAAGAUGAGUGGACGUUACUCGCAGAAUAAGCACCGGCUAACUCUGUGCCAGCCGCCGCGGUAA